ACUAAGUUCGGGCAGAUCGGAGUCUCAUUUCAAUGAGUUUUGGCCCACACACCUCUAAGAGGAGGGAUAAGUUCCCAGCUAUAGUCACUGCCAUGCCCCUUUUUAAAAAGCCUCGUCUUGAGAUCAGAUUCCCUUGCUCUACUAGUAGCAGGUUUUUAUUCCUAUCAUCUUUUUGAGAAUUCAACAUCCAGUUCAUAGAGA
rnacentral:lncRNA from 1 species